rnacentral:lncRNA from 1 species
AAAUAUUAUAUUGCUAUACAAUAAUAUAUAUUGUAUAAUUUAUAAUUUAACAUUACAAAACUGGGAUAUCGUCUUAAAUUAUAAAAAGCAAAAUAUUUAGUAAUGUAUAUUCAAUCAAAAAUAGGAGGCUCUAGGAAGUAGAGACCCUUUCUUGCUCACAUGAUACUGUAAUUGGUAAUACCAAGGAGGUUAUAUGAGUUAUAACUUCCUUGGUAGUGCUGAUUAAUGCUUCUCACAUAUUCAAAAUGAGAACAUUGGUUUUAAUUGGAUACAUUAACAAGAUUCUUGGUAUCAAAUUUCUUUACCUUGCCUAACCUGGAUGGUUCUAACUUGGACAUCCAUUAAAGAUUUCAAACAAAUUAAGAUUAAAAUAAUCUUAUUAUAACAAUUAAAAAAAAAAACCAAAAUAAAUAUCAUAAUGUAAAUAUAUAUAAAUAUUCUUGAAAAAAAAAAUAGGAAUGUCAUAUCACAAACAGUAACAAAUACAUUUAUAAUGCUAUGAGACUAGUAC